rnacentral:rRNA from 1 species
UACAGAGGGGGCAAGCGUUAUUCGGAAUUAUUGGGCGUAAAGGGCGCGUAGGCGGCUUGGCAAGUGGAUGGUGAAAUCCCUCGGCUUAACCGAGGAACUGCAGUCCAAACUGCUUCGCUUGAGACCGGGAGAGGUGAGUGGAAUUCCCAGUGUAGCGGUGAAAUGCGUAGAUAUUGGGAGGAACACCAGUGGCGAAGGCGGCUCACUGGACCGGUACUGACGCUGAUGCGCGAAAGCGUGGGGAGCAAACGGG